rnacentral:rRNA from 1 species
CCUACGGGUGGCAGCAGUGGGGGAUAUUGCACAAUGGGGGGAACCCUGAUGCAGCGACGCCGCGUGGGUGAAGGAGCGUUUCGGCGCGUAAAGCCCUAUCGGCAGGGAAGAAGAUGACGGUACCUGGCCAAGAAGCCCCGGCUAACUACGUUCCAGCAGCCGCGGUAAUACGUAGGGGGCAAGCGUUAUCCGGAUUUACUGGGUGUAAAGGGGGCGCAGACGGCAAUGCAAGCCAGGAGUGAAAGCCCGGGGCCCAACCCCGGGACUGCUCUUGGAACUGCAUGGCUGGAGUACAGGAGGGGCAGGCGGAAUUCCUAGUGUAGCGGUGAAAUGCGUAGAUAUUAGGAGGAACAUCAGUGACGAAGGCGGCCGCCUGGCCUGGUAACUGACGCUGAGGCACGAAAGCGCGGGGAGCAAAUAGGAUUAGAUACCCUAGUAGUC